GGUCCGGUCUUUCGCGAUGGACCGGUUCGAACCGGGUCAGAUCGGGAACGAAGCAGCCCUAAGGAUGCAGGUCUCAGGUGCGGAUGCCCGGACCCAC
rnacentral:SRP_RNA from 1 species